UACGGGGGGGGCAAGCGUUGUUCGGAAUUACUGGGCGUAAAGGGCUCGUAGGCGGCCAACUAAGUCAGUUGUGAAAUCUCCGAGCUUAACUCGGAACGGUCAACUGAUACUGUGCGGCUAGAGUGCAGAAGGGGCAACUGGAAUUCUUGGUGUAGCGGUGAAAUGCGUAGAUAUCAAGAGGAACACCUGCGGCGAAGGCGGGUUGCUGGGCUGACACUGACGCUGAGGCGCGAAAGCUAGGGGAGCGAACGGG
rnacentral:rRNA from 1 species